GACGAACGCUGGCGGCGUGCUUAACACAUGCAAGUCGAACGGAAAGGCCCUGCUUUUGUGGGGUGCUCGAGUGGCGAACGGGUGAGUAACACGUGAGUAACCUGCCCUUGACUUUGGGAUAACUUCAGGAAACUGGGGCUAAUACCGGAUAGGAGCUCCUGCUGCAUGGUGGGGGUUGGAAAGUUUCGGCGGUUGGGGAUGGACUCGCGGCUUAUCAGCUUGUUGGUGGGGUAGUGGCUUACCAAGGCUUUGACGGGUAGCCGGCCUGAGAGGGUGACCGGCGACAAUGGGACAGAGGGACGGCGCAGACUCCGACGGGAGGGAGCAGUGAGGAAUAUUGCACAAUGGGCGGAAGCCUGAUGCAGCAACGCCGCGUGCGGGAUGACGGCCUUCGGGUGUUAAACCGCUUUCGCCUGUGACGAAGAGUGAGUGACGGUAAUGGGUAAAGAAGCACCGGCUAACUACGUG
rnacentral:rRNA from 1 species